rnacentral:lncRNA from 1 species
UAGCUGAUAGAGCCUACUAUAAACCUAGGCUAUAUCGCAUAGCCUAGCGCUCCUAGGCUACAAACCUGGACAGCAUGUUACCAUACUGAAUUAUGUGCGCAACUGUAACACAAUGUGAUCUUGCAGAACUGCUAGUCUUUUUGUAUUCUUCCCUCCACAAGAACCUCCUUUAGACGUCCUUCACUUCCAGGAUCCAGUCCAAACUCCUGGGCUUGGCACAUGAACCCUCCAUCAUCUGGCACCUGGCAGCCCACAUGCUGGAGCCUCACGGAUUUGCUCAUCGCCCUCUGAACACCUGUGGCCUUCUCACUCCUCUGUGUCUUUGCACAUCCUUUCCCCAACCUCAUGCCAGGCCAUUGCAUUGUGAUCCAGGCUCAGUCUUCGUUCUGCUUCGUGGCAUCACAGUCCCUUAUUUGAAACUGAACCAGGACUGCAGUCUUCGACUUUGACAUCAAAUUUGACACCUCAGUGGCCCAAGCUUUCAGAAACUUGGAAUUGCAGACAUUAUGGAUUUGGACCUGCCCUCAGAAGAGCUACCUACUGAAAUAUUUACAAGUGAAAUGAUGUGAGAUGUGGGAUUUGAUUCAAAAUGAUCCUUUAUGUAUGAAGAGUGGGGCGUGGAGAAUGCAUGAAGAUACAGAUAAAAUAAACGUGUCUAUGGGUUAAUA